rnacentral:rRNA from 1 species
AUAUACAUCAUACUACCCUGAAUACACCCGAUCUCUCUGUUCUCUGAAGCUAAGCAGGGUAGGGCCUGGUUAAUACUUGGAUGGGAGAUGGCCUGGAAUAUCGGGUGCUGUAGGCU